CGGGUGAGUAACACGUGGAUAACCUACCUAUAAGACUGGGAUAACUUCGGGAAACCGGAGCUAAUACCGGAUAACAUAUUGAACCGCAUGGUUCAAUAGUGAAAGACGGUUUUGCUGUCACUUAUAGAUGGAUCCGCGCUGCAUUAGCUAGUUGGUAAGGUAACGGCUUACCAAGGCAACGAUGCGUAGCCGACCUGAGAGGGUGAUCGGCCACACUGGAACUGAGACACGGUCCAGACUCCUACGGGAGGCAGCAGCC
rnacentral:rRNA from 1 species